rnacentral:rRNA from 1 species
CGUGUUGCCUGCAAGGGCGUAUGGUGGAUGCCUUGGCAGACAGGACCGAUGAAGGACGUUUGAGGCUGCGAUAUGCCUCGGGGAGCCGCCAACAGGGCUUUGAUCCGAGGAUUUCCGAAUGGGGGAACCCACCGGCCGUCAUGGGCCGGUACCGCCGUGUGCGGGGGGUACGCAGGGAAGUGAAACAUCUCAGUACCUGCAGGAAAGGAUAUUCCGUGAGUAGUGGCGAGCGAAAGCGGAUCAGGCCAAACCUUGCGCGUGUGAUACCCGUCGGGGGUUGCGCGCGGGGUGUAGAGGGAUCGCGUUUGCCGGCUCCGACGGGCCGGCCGUCAGUUGCAUAAAACCAUGUGCCAGGGGAACCGGGUUGAAUACCGGGCCGCAGAGGGUGAGGGCCCCGUACCCGAACGCGCAUGGUCUGGCGAUCGCGUCUCCCAAGUAGCACGGGCCCCGUGGAAUCCCGUGCGAAUCUGUCCCGACCGUGGGAUAAGCCUAAAUAUUCCUGUCUGACCGAUAGCGAACGAGUACCGUGAGGGAAAGGUGAAAAGUACCCCGGGAGGGGAGUGAAACAGUCUCUGAAACCAUGCGCCUACGAACCGUCGGGGCCCUCUUGUGGGGUGACGGCGUGCCUAUCGAAAAAUGAGUCUGCGAGUCAGUGGCAUGUGGCGAGCAUAACCCGUGUGGGGUAUGCGUAGCGAAGGCGAGUCUUAAAAGGCGUUUGAGUCGCGUGUCCUGGACCCGAAGCGGGAUGAUCUAGCCCUGAGCAGGUUGAAGCGCGGGUAAGACCGUGUGGAGGACCGAACCCACCUGGGUUGAAAACCGGGGGGAUGACUUGGGGCUAGGGGUGAAAGGCCAAUCAAAUUCCGUGAUAGCUGGUUCUCUCCGAAAUGCAUUUAGGUGCAGCGUCGGAUCGAUUACAUCCGGGGGGUAGAGCGACUGGAUGCUUGCGGGCCCAUAUCGGGUACCAACAGCAACCAAACUCCGAAUACCCGUGAUGCGUAUCCCGGCAGUGAGUCGGCGGGGGAUAAGCUCCGUCGUCGAAAGGGAAACAGCCCAGAUCGUCGUCUAAGGUCCCCAAGCGUGUGCUAAGUGGGAAAGGAUGUGGAGUCGCAUAGACAGCCAGGAGGUUGGCUCAGAAGCAGCCACCCUUGAAAGAGUGCGUAACAGCUCACUGGUCUAGUGGUUCCGCGCCGACAAUGUAGCGGGGCUCAAGCACACCACCGAAGACGCGGCAGUAGCUUUGCUACUGGGUAGGAGAGCGUCCCAUGCGGGGCGAAGCGGCGGCGCAAGCCCGCCGUGGACCGCAUGGGAGUGAGAAUGCAGACAUGAGUAGCGAAAGACGGGUGAAGAUCCCGUCCGCUGGACGACCAAGGGUUCCAGGGCCACGUUCAUCGUCCCUGGGUGAGUCGGGUCCUAAGGCGAGGCCGACAGGCGUAGUCGAAUGGACGAACGGGUCGAUAUUCCCGUACCGGCAUGCAACCGGCAAAACCGAAUCCGCGAGUACUUACCUCCGGGUCCGGGCUCACGUCUCCUUCGGGAGCCGGAUGCCCUGGCCUGUUGGGACCGUAACGGUAGUAGGUCAGCGCGGGAGUGACGCAGAAGGGUAGCCGGCCGCGGAGGUGGUCUUCCGUGGUCAAGCACGCAGCCCGUCCCACAGGCAAAUCCGUGGGGCGCGUGGGCGAGGUGCGAUGAUGGGCGCCGCAGGGCGCGAUAUCCGGUGAUCCCGGCUGCCGAGAAAAGCUUCGGCGUGAGGCGGCAUGCCGCCCGUACCCCAAACCGACACUGGUGGUCAGGUAGAGAAUACCAAAGCGAUCGAGCGAAUCCUGGUCAAGGAACUCGGCAAAUCACUCCCGUUCCUUCGGUUUAAGGGAGACCCCCGAUGGUGAAGCGGCUUGCCCGCGGAGCUUUUGGGGGUGGCACAGACCAGGGGGUAGCGACUGUUUACCAAAAACACAGGAGCGUGCGAAGGCGCAAGCCGCUGUAUACGCUCUGACGCCUGCCCGGUGCCGGAAGGUUAAGAGGAUCCGUCAGGCCUCGGCCGAAGCGGUGAAUUCAAGCCCCGGUAAACGGCGGUGGUAACUAUAACCAUCCUAAGGUAGCGAAAUUCCUUGUCGGGUAAGUUCCGACCUGCACGAAUGGCGUAACGACUUCCCCACUGUCUCGACCAGGAGCUCGGCGAAAUUGCAGUACGAGUAAAGAUGCUCGUUAAGCGCAGAAGGACGAAAAGACCCCGGGACCUUUACUAUACCUUGGUAUUGGCAUUCGGUGUGGAUUGUGUAGCAUAGGCGGAAGGCUUCGAAGCCACGGCGCCAGCCGCGGUGGAGCCGCAAGGUGAAAUACCGCUCUGUUCGCAUUGGAUGUCUAACCUCGACCAGUCAUCCUGGUCAGGGACAGUGCCUGGCGGGUAGUUUAACUGGGGCGGUUGCCUCCCAAAGAGUAACGGAGGCGCUCAAAGGUUCCCUCAGCCCGGUUGGCAAUCGGGUGGCGAGUGUAAGUGCACAAGGGAGCUUGACUGCGAGACUGACGGGUCGAGCAGGGACGAAAGUCGGAACUAGUGAUCCGGUGCCGGUGUACGGACGCGGCAUCGCUCAACGGAUAAAAGGUACCCCGGGGAUAACAGGCUGAUCAUUCCCAAGAGUCCAUAUCGACGGGAUGGUUUGGCACCUCGAUGUCGGCUCGUCGCAUCCUGGGGCUGGAGCAGGUCCCAAGGGUUCGGCUGUUCGCCGAUUAAAGCGGCACGCGAGCUGGGUUCAGAACGUCGUGAGACAGUUUGGUCUCUAUCCUCUGCGCUCGUCGGAAUGUUGAGGAGGCCUGCCCAUAGUACGAGAGGACCUGGGUGGACGAACCUCUGGUAUGCCGGUUGUCACGCCAGUGGCACGGCCGGUUGGCUACGUUCGGAAGGGAUAACCGCUGAAAGCAUCUAAGCGGGAAGCCUGCUCCAAGAUAAGCAUUCCAUAGGACUACGGGUCCUUGAAGUCCCCAUGCAGAACACGUGGUUGAUAGGCCGGACGUGGAAGCCCCGCGAGGGGUGGAGCCGACCGGUACUAACGGACGAAAGGCAACACAAU